rnacentral:rRNA from 1 species
UCUGACAGUCCCAGAGAUGGGAUCUUCUUCGGACAGAUAUACAGGUGGUGCAUGGUUGUCGUCAGCUCGUGUCGUGAGAUGUUUGGUUAAGUCCAAAUAACGAGCGCAACCCUCGUCUUCAGUUGCUAACAUUUAGUUGAGAACUCUGAAGAGACUGCCAGUGCAAGCUGGAGGAAGAUGGGGAUGACGUCAAAUCAUCAUGCCCCUUACGUCUAGGGCUACAGGCGUGCUACAAUGAUCGGUACAACGAGUCGCAACAUGGUGACAUGGAGCUAAUCUCUUAAAGCCGGUCCCAGUCCGGAUUGGAGUCUGCAACUCGACUCCAUGAAGUUGGAAUCGCUAGUAAUCCCGAAUCAGAAUGUCGGGGUGAAUACGUUCCCGGGUGUUGUACACACCGCCCGUCACGCCAUGGGAGUCUGUAAUACUUGAAGUCGGUAGCCUAACCCGCAAGGGAGGGGACCGCCCAGGGUAGGACAGGUGACUGGGGUGAAGUCGUAACAAGGUAACCUUAAUCUAGAU